AUGAACGCUAGCUACAGGCUUAACACAUGCAAGUCGAGGGGCAGCAUUUUAGUUUGCUUGCAAACUAAAGAUGGCGACCGGCGCACGGGUGAGUAACACGUAUCCAACCUGCCGAUAACUCGGGGAUAGCCUUUCGAAAGAAAGAUUAAUAUCCGAUAGUAUAUUAAAACCGCAUGGUUUUACUAUUAAAGAAUUUCGGUUAUCGAUGGGGAUGCGUUCCAUUAGUUUGUUGGCGGGGUAACGGCCCACCAAGACUACGAUGGAUAGGGGUUCUGAGAGGAAGGUCCCCCACAUUGGAACUGAGACACGGUCCAAACUCCUACGGGAGGCAGCAGUGAGGAAUAUUGGUCAAUGGACGAGAGUCUGAACCAGCCAAGUAGCGUGAAGGAUGACUGCCCUAUGGGUUGUAAACUUCUUUUAUAUGGGAAUAAAGUAUUCCACGUGUGGGAUUUUGUAUGUACCAUAUGAAUAAGGAUCGGCUAACUCCGUGCCAGCAGCCGCGGUAAUACGGAGGAUCCGAGCGUUAUCCGGAUUUAUUGGGUUUAAAGGGAGCGUAGGUGGAUUGUUAAGUCAGUUGUGAAAGUUUGCGGCUCAACCGUAAAAUUGCAGUUGAAACUGGCAGUCUUGAGUACAGUAGAGGUGGGCGGAAUUCGUGGUGUAGCGGUGAAAUGCUUAGAUAUCACGAAGAACUCCGAUUGCGAAGGCAGCUCACUAGACUGCAACUGACACUGAUGCUCGAAAGUGUGGGUAUCAAACAGGAUUAGAUACCCUGGUAGUCCACACAGUAAACGAUGAAUACUCGCUGUUUGCGAUAUACAGUAAGCGGCCAAGCGAAAGCAUUAAGUAUUCCACCUGGGGAGUACGCCGGCAACGGUGAAACUCAAAGGAAUUGACGGGGGCCCGCACAAGCGGAGGAACAUGUGGUUUAAUUCGAUGAUACGCGAGGAACCUUACCCGGGCUUAAAUUGCAGAUGAAUUACGGUGAAAGCCGUAAGCCGCAAGGCAUCUGUGAAGGUGCUGCAUGGUUGUCGUCAGCUCGUGCCGUGAGGUGUCGGCUUAAGUGCCAUAACGAGCGCAACCCUUAUCUUUAGUUACUAACAGGUCAUGCUGAGGACUCUAGAGAGACUGCCGUCGUAAGAUGUGAGGAAGGUGGGGAUGACGUCAAAUCAGCACGGCCCUUACGUCCGGGGCUACACACGUGUUACAAUGGGGGGUACAGAAGGCAGCUACCUGGCGACAGGAUGCUAAUCCCAAAAACCUCUCUCAGUUCGGAUCGAAGUCUGCAACCCGACUUCGUGAAGCUGGAUUCGCUAGUAAUCGCGCAUCAGCCAUGGCGCGGUGAAUACGUUCCCGGGCCUUGUACACACCGCCCGUCAAGCCAUGAAAGCCGGGGGUACCUGAAGUACGUAACCGCAAGGAGCGUCCUAGGGUAAAACUGGUAAUUGGGGCU
rnacentral:rRNA from 1 species